rnacentral:tRNA from 1 species
CAGGGAGACAACAAAAUGUUUAAUAUUAUUUUGUCACCUUAGGUCGAUCGGUAUCUCACGUUUUUAAUUUAUUAAGAAUUUCAUUUCCUAAGUUUUUCUAGGUCACACCCAUUAUUUUUCCUGGGCCAUUACCUCAGGUGGUUAGAGCGCACCCCUGAUAAGGGUGAGGUCCCUGGUUCAAGUCCAGGAUGGCCCAUAUCUCUAUGUUGGGGGUAUAGCUCAGUUGGUAGAGCGCCUGCUUUGCAAGCAGGAUGUCAGCGGUUCGAGUCCGCUUACCUCCACUGAUUACCACCUCUCGCAUAAUCUAUUAAAAGGAAAUGUUUUGAGUUGUGAUCAAAUUCUGAACGAAUCUAGCUUCCUAAUGAAAUCAUUAAGAUGCUGGACUCAUUGAAUUAAUUUCAUUGUUUUCAGAGAACCUUGACAACUGCAUAGAUUAUUUUUAAAGACAAUAAGCAUUUUUAAUGAUGCAGAUUUAUUAUUUGUGCGAAUGCAUUAAUAACAAUUCUAUUAAGCUGAUGCUUCAAUUUUGAAGUUAUU